rnacentral:rRNA from 1 species
AUGGAUUAUCUUUUGCAUUUACUAAAUUCUUCAGAGUACCCAUUUGAGAUUGUUCAUGAUUUCAUAUUUGAUAGAACAAGGUCUGUGAGACAAGAUCUUAGUAUACAGAAUUUGGUGAAUGAUCAAGCUAUUCGCAUAUAUGAGGACGUGAUAAAGUUUCAUAUUCUGUCCCAUCAAAGACUUGCGAGGUCUUGCCAGAAUUCUGAUGCAUCUUCCUUGUGUUACCUGAACACGGAACAAAUGAUGAAAUGCCUUCUUUCUCUGUUUGAUAUGUAUCAUACAAUUCAUAAAAUCAAUUCCCAAAGCAAUAAAGAGGCCGGGUAUUAUUCCUUCUUUGUGCUUCUACAUUUGGGUUGCAAGAUACCCAAUAUGGCAAACUCACUCUCUUUUUGGUACAGCCAAUUACCAGCUUCAAUAGUACGAUCAAAGGAAAUGAUAUUUGCUAGAACUAUAUUGAGAUGCUACCACCUUGGGAAUUUCAAGCGUUUCUUUUGCAUGAUAGCAGCUGAAGCAACCGAGCUUCAGUUGUGUUUGGUAGAACCUUUCCUCAAUGAGGUAAGUACAGAGGAAUCCUUAUUCUUUCCCAUCUGCAUUGACUUCCGGACCCGUUUUAUUGAUGCAGCAUUCAUUUCUAACUUUUAG